GUUUCCCAGAAAUUAAUAGUAAUUAAAACUGGCUCUCUAUCUCUCUCACUCUCUCCAUUAUGAUCUCUGCUCUAGUUAUUAGUAGCAGUAGAAGUUCAGUUGGGGUGGGGUCUUCACAAUAUUCAGACAGCUAUUGCUAAUUACAGCUUUUGUCCCCACGCCCCCUCAGCACCUCAUUCAUGGCUGCCCCCAACUCUAACUCUCUUCCUCUUUACAUUCCUCACCAGCCCACUUGUGUUUUUUUCCAUUCUUUCCAGUCUUCACGUUCACAUUGCAGCUAUAGCUAGUCUCUGAGCUGGGAUUUUUUUCCAAGACUACUCCUUUUUUGCUUUGAAGCCCUUUUGUUUCUUUUCUUGCAUUUUGUUUUCCCCCUUUUUUAGUGCCUCACUCAGUUUGGAAGUGGUAUGAGAGCAAAAGGGGCAGGAAUGAGCGGAGGGGAGCCUCAAAGUUACAAUUUUUAUCUUCAUUCUGUGUUCUUGCUACUUCUUUGCUUAUUUACAUCGUAUUGCAGUUCAUCAAGUUAUAUCAAAAGUUCUGUGAUAGCUCAAAGAAAACAUGCCCUCUUGCCUGAAAUAUCUCCUAGUGAAGCUCCUCAGCCCCUUCUUCCUCUCCUGGCACCUUCUCCAUUUUCACCAUUCACCAACAGCAGUAUACCAAAACUAUCUGGAGUCUGCAUAUUAAACUUUGCGGCCGUGGAAAGCAUGAUGAGGAUGACAUCAAUUGAUUGUGUGGGUGGUUUUGCACCAUAUCUAGCUAAUGUUAUAUGCUGCCCUCAAGUAGAUGCGACUCUUACUGUCCUUGUUGGUCAAUCUAGUAAGGACACCAAUAUGCUUGCUUUAAAUGGAACUCUUGCAGAACCCUGCCUUUCUGAUUUUGAGGAAAUUCUAGUGGGUCAGGGUGCCAAUGACAGUCUGCCCCGUAUAUGCUCCAUCCAUCCAUCAAACCUUACUGAAGGUUCUUGCCCAGUCGGCGAUGUUAAUGCUUUUGAGAGCACAGUGGAUUCAUCUAGUCUUCUUGCAGCCUGUGGGAAGAUUGACACUGUUAAUGAAUGUUGCAAGCAAGUUUGUCAGAAUGCUAUAGCAGAAGCAGCUGGGAAGCUGGCUGUAAAAACUUAUGAUCUUAUGAGCAUCGGUGGCUCUCAUGCACUAGCUGACCACUCAACUCGAAUAAAUGAUUGCAGAACUAUAGUACUUCGAUGGCUGGCAAGUAAACUUGAUCCUUCUCAUGCAAAAGAAGUUCUUAGAGGGCUAUCUAAUUGCAAAAUUAAUAAAGUGUGUCCUCUGGUUUUUCCAAACAUGAGCCAUGUUAUAAAGAGCUGUGGGAGUGAAUUGCAUGACCAGAGAGCUUGCUGCAAGUCAGUGGAGAGUUAUGUGUCUCAUUUGCAAAACCAAAGUUUUGUUACCAACUUGCAGGCUUUAAAUUGUGCUGCAUCACUGGGACUUAAAUUACAGAAAGCAAAUAUUACCAAAAAUAUUUAUAAUCUCUGUCGUGUCAGUCUCAAAGACUUCUCAGUCCAAGUUACCCCGCAAGGUGUGGAAUCUGGAUGCCUUUUGCCUAGCUUGCCAUCAGAUGCAGUAUUUGACAGUUCUACUGGUCUGAGCUUCCUCUGUGAUCUGAAUGACAAUAUUCCAGCUCCCUGGCCUGCUCCUUCUCAAUUACCAGCUUCAUCAUGCAAUAAGACUGUCAAAAUUCCCGCACUUCCUGCCGCAGCAUCUGGGCAAAGCAGAAUCUGUAGUGCGGACCAAGCAUCCCAUGCGCUUUUUGUAGUCUUGGCCAUAUUUGCACUCCUGAUGAAAAUUUAAUUGGCCAUUCUUGUCUGUUGAAUUACCUGAGAGGAGGAUCUACACCUUGCAACUUGAAGAAUUGUACCAAUCCUGGGGCACGAAGAACAUCAUGUGAAAGUUGAAGCAGAGGAGGAUUCUGCCAAAUAUCAUGCUACUAAUUGGGCUUUGACCGGGUUCAUAAUCAGGUUGAUCCUUCCGACAGCUGCUGCAACCAGAUUCCAGAGCAGAGAUAUCAUAAUUCAUAACCAGUGAAAGCGACGAGAAUUCUAUGAGUUGUAACCUAUAUUUGUCAUAUUUGCACAUCCAAAUGUGUAGAAAGGUGACCAUUCAUGAAGACUGUUGAUUCGAUCCUUUAGGAUUAUUAUGAUCAGGAAAAGAAAGUUGCAGCAAUUCUUGGGGUUGCCUGCACAAUACGGCAGUGGAAGGUCGUGCCAAGAAACUUUAGAAAAAAAGGGAAAAAGAUGAAGAAGAAGAUAUGGUGGGGAAAAAACAUUCCGUUUUGAGAAGAUUUUUGAGCACGUAAACGCAGUACAGCACCAACACAAGCAUCACCACAAUCAUUAUUAAGAGUUAAAGACUUCGUAGGAGAUUACAGAAGUAGUUAACGUCCAACAUUUAUGGCAAUUUCACUUAGUGCCUUUUGAGGUUUUCAAAAUUACACCUAACUCCUUUAUUCAUUGAAAAAGACAAUAUUAUAUUUU